rnacentral:rRNA from 1 species
GACGAACGCUGGCGGCGUGCUUAACACAUGCAAGUCGAACGGAAAGGCCCUGCUUUUGUGGGGUGCUCGAGUGGCGAACGGGUGAGUAACACGUGAGUAACCUGCCCUUGACUUUGGGAUAACUUCAGGAAACUGGGGCUAAUACCGGAUAGGAGCUCCUGCUGCAUGGUGGGGGUUGGAAAGUUUCGGCGGUUGGGGAUGGACUCGCGGCUUAUCAGCUUGUUGGUGGGGUAGUGGCUUACCAAGGCUUUGACGGGUAGCCGGCCUGAGAGGGUGACCGGCCACAUUGGGACUGAGAUACGGCCCAGUCUCCUACGGGAGGCAGCAGUGGGGAAUAUUGCACAAUGGGCGGAAGCCUGAUGCAGCAACGCCGCGUGCGGGAUGACGGCCUUCGGGUUGUAACCCGCUUUCGCCUGUGACGAAGCGUGAGUGACGGUAAUGGGUAAAGAAGCACCGGCUAACUACGUG